rnacentral:rRNA from 1 species
UUCUACAACAAUAAGCGGAGGAAAAGAAACUAACAAGGAUUCCCCUAGUAACUGCGAGUGAAGCGGGAAAAGCUCAAAUUUAAAAUCUGACAGUCUUUGGCUGUCCGAGUUGUAUUCUGGAGAAGUGUUUUCCGCGCUGGACCGUGUACAAGUCUCUUGGAAUAGAGCGUCAUAGAGGGUGAGAAUCCCGUCUUUGACACGGACUACCAGUGCUUUGUGAUGCGCUCUCAAAGAGUCGAGUUGUUUGGGAAUGCAGCUCAAAAUGGGUGGUGAAUUCCAUCUAAAGCUAAAUAUUGGCGAGAGACCGAUAGCGAACAAGUACCGUGAGGGAAAGAUGAAAAGCACUUUGGAAAGAGAGUUAAACAGUACGUGAAAUUGCUGAAAGGGAAACGCUUGAAGUCAGUCGCGUCAUUCAGAACUCAGCCUGGCUUUUGUCUGGUGUAUUUUCUGGUUGACGGGCCAGCAUCAGUUUUGACCGCUGGAAAAAGGCCAUGGGAAUGUGGCACCUUCGGGUGUGUUAUAGCCUGUGGUCAUAUACAGCGGUUGGGACUGAGGACCGCAGCACGCCUUUAUGGUUGGGGUUCGCCCACAUUCGUGCUUAGGAUGCUGGCGUAAUGGCUUUAAACGACCCGUCUUGAAACACGGACCAAGGAGUCUAACAUGCCUGCGAGUGUUUGGGUGGAAAACCCGAGCGCGCAAUGAAAGUGAAAGUUGGGAUCCCUGUCGCGGGGAGCACCGACGCCCGGACCAGACCUUUUGUGACGGAUCCGCGGUAGAGCAUGUAUGUUGGGACCCGAAAGAUGGUGAACUAUGCCUGAAUAGGGUGAAGCCAGAGGAAACUCUGGUGGAGGCUCGUAGCGAUUCUGACGUGCAAAUCGAUCGUCAAAUUUGGGUAUAGGGGCGAAAGACUAAUCGAACCA